rnacentral:rRNA from 1 species
GAUGGACGCUGACAGAAUGCUUAACACAUGCCAGUCAACUUGAACUUCGGUUUGGGUGGCGGACGGGUGAGUACGCGUAAAGAACUUGCCUCACAGCUAGGGACAACAUUUGGAAACGAAUGCUAAUACCUGAUAUUAUGAUUAUAUGGCAUCGUAUAAUUAUGAAAGCUAUUUGCGCUGUGAGAGAGCUUUGCGUCCCAUUAGCUAGUUGGAGAGGUAACAGCUCACCAAGGCGAUGAUGGGUAGCCGGCCUGAGAGGGUGAUCGGCCACAAGGGGACUGAGACACGGCCCUUACUCCUACGGGAGGCAGCAGUGGGGAAUAUUGGACAAUGGACCGAGAGUCUGAUCCAGCAAUUCUGUGUGCACGAUGAAGUUUUUCGGAAUGUAAAGUGCUUUCAGUUGGGAAGAAAAAAAUGACGGUACCAACAGAAGAAGUGACGGCUAAAUACGUG